AUCAGGAAUGAGGAGAAUUGUCAAUGG
rnacentral:SRP_RNA from 1 species